UGACAAACAUAUGUUGAUCGUGUAAAAGGUUGUCGAUUUAAAGUAUUUCUAACAGACUUCUAUCGCUAAAGUAUUCGACAAAAUAUUACAUCCCUGAGAAUUGCUAUUGACAUCCUCGGAAGAAGAAUACUUCAUUAUUUCUUUAUGACGAUCUCUUAUGCUGUACACCCUUAGUAAGGAACAUUAUCUCAAUAAAGCACUUUGAUUGGAGUACGUCGAAAAAGAUUUUGCCUAUAAAAUCCGCCGAUGUAGUCCCAGCC